UACAUGGGGUGCAACCGUUGCUCGGAAUCAUUGGGCGUAAAGCGCGCGUAGGCGGUUAUUUAAGUUGGAUGUGAAAGCCCUCGGCUUAACUGAGGAAGUGCAUCCAAAACUGAAUAGCUAGAGUACGAAAGAGGGUCGCGGAAUUCCCGGUGUAGAGGUGAAAUUCGUAGAUAUCGGGAGGAACACCGGUGGCGAAGGCGGCGACCUGGGUCGAGACUGACGCUGAGGCGCGAAAGCGUGGGGAGCAAACAGG
rnacentral:rRNA from 1 species